AUGAAGAGCACGGAGAAGUGCGUCAGCAACGGCAAGCCGGACAACGGGUACCUGAACUGGCGGUGGCAGCAGGCGGGCUGUAACCUCUCCGAGCUCGACCCGGCAGAGUUCCUCCGGGCAGUCCGGGGCAAGCUCCUGGCUUUCGUCGGCGACUCCACGGCGCGCAACCAGGCGGAGUCCCUCGUCUGCUUCCUCUCCACCGUGUCGCGGCCGGAGACGACGCACCGGUACGAGGAGCCCGUGGGCCACGAGUUCUGGCGGUGGGUCUUCCCGGCGCCGCACAACGUCACCAUCUCCACGUACUGGUCGCCGUUCCUCGUGCGCGCCGAGGGCAGGUCGGUGGACUACGCCAUGACGCAGGAGACGCUGUUCCUGGACGCGCUCACCGAGCCGUGGACGGCGGACGUGGACGCGAUGGACGUCAUGGUGAUCUCGGCGGGGCACUGGUUCAACCACCCGGCCGUCUACUACGACGACGGGCAGAUCGCCGGCGUGUUUUCCCGUCCGGACGUAAACGAGACCGACAUCGGCGGCGGCUACGUCGGCGUGUACCGCAAGGUGAUCCGGAGGGUACUUGAGUACGUCAACGAAAAGUCGAGCGGCGACAAGCUGGUGGUGGUGUCAACCAUCGCGCCGGCGCACUUCGACGCCAGGUACGCCUGGAAUCACCGGGAUGCGUGCUCGCGGCCGAAUCCGUAUGAUGAGGGAGAGGUGCCCGAGGAUGCGAACACGGCCGAGAUGAGGAAGGCCGUGCUGGAGGAGGGGGCGGCGGCAAAAAGGCAGCGACGGGGGCUGCGGUUCGAUGUGCUGGACGUGACGAGGCUGGCGUCCAUGCGGCCCGAUGGGCACCCAGGCGCCUACAUCGUGAAGGACAGGUACUGUGCCGGAAAGCCCAUGCCGGAGACGGUUAACAACGACUGCCUGCACUGGUGCGCGCCGGGGCCGGUGGACACGUUCAACGACAUACUGGUGCAGAUGGUGGCCGCAAGCGGCUGA
rnacentral:rRNA from 1 species